rnacentral:rRNA from 1 species
CCUACGGGAGGCAGCAGUGAGGAAUAUUGGUCAAUGGACGAGAGUCUGAACCAGCCAAGUAGCGUGAAGGAUGACUGCCCUAUGGGUUGUAAACUUCUUUUAUAUGGGAAUAAAAUGUUCCACGUGUGGGAUUUUGUAUGUACCAUAUGAAUAAGGAUCGGCUAACUCCGUGCCAGCAGCCGCGGUAAUACGGAGGAUCCGAGCGUUAUCCGGAUUUAUUGGGGUUAAAGGGAGCGUAGGUGGAUUGUUAAGUCAGUUGUGAAAGUUUGUGGCUCAACCGUGAAAUUGCAGUGGAAACUGGCAGGCUUGAGUACAGUAGAGGUAGGCGGAAUUCGUGGUGUAGCGGUGAAAUGCUUAGAUAUCACGAAGAACUCCGAUUGCGAAGGCAGCUGACUGGACUGCAACUGACGCUGAGGCUCGAAGGUGUGGGUAUCAAACAGGAUUAGAUACCCGAGUAGUC